GACAGAGGUGCCGAGCGUUAGGCGGAAUCACUGGGCUUAAAGCGUGUGUAGGCGGACCGUUAAGUACCUUGUGAAAUCCCACGGCUCAACCGUGGAACGGCUGGGUAGACUGGCGGUCUUGAGCGGCCUAGGGGCAGAUGGAACAGACGGUGGAGCGGUGAAAUGCGUAGAUAUCGUCUGGAACGCCAAAGGUGAAGACAGUCUGCUGGGGGCCUGCUGACGCUGAGACACGAAAGCCAGGGGAGCAAACGGG
rnacentral:rRNA from 1 species